rnacentral:rRNA from 1 species
UACGUAGGGUGCAAGCGUUAAUCGGAAUUACUGGGCGUAAAGCGUGUGUAGGUGGUUUUCUAAGUCAGGUGUGAAAUCCCCCAGGCUCAACCUGGGAACUGCAUUUGAUACUGGAAGACUAGAGUGUGGUAGAGGAUAGUGGAAUUCCCGGUGUAGCGGUGAAAUGCGUAGAUAUCGGGAGGAACAUCAGUGGCGAAGGCGGCUAUCUGGACUAACACUGACACUGAGACACGAAAGCGUGGGGAGCAAACAGG